GGGUUGUGAGGUUAAGCGACUAAGCGUACACGGUGGAUGCCCUGGCAGUCAGAGGCGAUGAAGGACGUGCUAAUCUGCGAAAAGCGUCGGUAAGGUGAUAUGAACCGUUAUAACCGGCGAUGUCCGAAUGGGGAAACCCAGUGUGAUUCGUCACACUAUCGUUAACUGAAUACAUAGGUUAACGAGGCGAACCGGGGGAACUGAAACAUCUAAGUACCCCGAGGAAAAGAAAUCAACCGAGAUUCCCCCAGUAGCGGCGAGCGAACGGGGAGCAGCCCAGAGUCUGAAUCAGCUUGUGUGUUAGUGG
rnacentral:rRNA from 2 species